CCUACGGGUGGCAGCAGUGGGGAAUAUCGGGCAAUGGAGGCAACUCUGACCCAGCAACGCCGCGUGAAUGAUGAAGGUCUUCGGAUUGUAAAGUUCUGUGAUGGGGGAUGAACACAUUGACGGUACUCCAAUAGCAAGCCACGGCUAACUACGUGCCAGCCGCCGCGGUAAUACGUAGGAGGAAAGCGUUAAGCGGAAUGACUGGGCGUAAAGGGUGCGUAGGUGGGUUCGUAAGUUAGCGGUGUAAUUCCGGGGCUUAACCUCGGAGUUACCGCUCAAACUAUUUGACUAGAGUGCAGGAGGGGUGAGUAGAAUUCCUAGUGUAGCGGUGAAAUGCGUAGAGAUGAGGAGGAACACCGAGGGCGAAGGCAACUUACUGG
rnacentral:rRNA from 1 species